rnacentral:rRNA from 1 species
CCUACGGGUGGCAGCAGUCGAGAAUCAUUCACAAUGGGGGAAACCCUGAUGCUGCGACGCCGCGUGGGGGAAUGAAGGUCUUCGGAUUGUAAACCCCUGUCAUGUGGGAGCAAAUUACAAUGAUAGUACCACAAGAGGAAGAGACGGCUAACUCUGUGCCAGCAGCCGCGGUAAUACAGCGGUCUCAAGCGUUGUUCGGAAUCACUGGGCGUAACGCGUGCGUAGGCUGUUUCGUAAGUCGUGUGUGAAAGGCGCGGGCUCAACCCGCGGACGGCACAUGAUACUGCGAGACUAGAGUAAUGGAGGGGGAAGCGGAAUUCUCGGUGUAGCAGUGAAAUGCGUAGAUAUCGAGAGGAACACCCGUGGCGAAGGCGGGUUCCUGGACAGUAACUGACGCUGAGGCACGAAGGCCAGGGGAGCGAAAGGGAUUAGAUACCCGGGUAGUC